AUUGAACGCUGGCGGCAGGCCUAACACAUGCAAGUCGAACGGUAACAGGAAGCAGCUUGCUGCUUCGCUGACGAGUGGCGGACGGGUGAGUAAUGUCUGGGAAGCUGCCUGAUGGAGGGGGAUAACUACUGGAAACGGUAGCUAAUACCGCAUAAUGUCGCAAGACCAAAGAGGGGGACCUUCGGGCCUCUUGCCAUCGGAUGUGCCCAGAUGGGAUUAGCUUGUUGGUGGGGUAACGGCUCACCAAGGCGACGAUCCCUAGCUGGUCUGAGAGGAUGACCAGCCACACUGGAACUGAGACACGGUCCAGACUCCUACGGGAGGCAGCAGUGGGGAAUAUUGCACAAUGGGCGCAAGCCUGAUGCAGCCAUGCCGCGUGUAUGAAGAAGGCCUUCGGGUUGCAAAGUACUUUAAGCGGGGAGGAAGGGAGUAAAGUUAAUACCUUUGCUCAUUGACGUUACCCGCAGAAGAAGCACCGGCUAACUCCGUG
rnacentral:rRNA from 1 species